GGAUGUGAGGGCGAUCUGGCUGCGACAUCUGUCACCCCAUUGAUCGCCAAGGUUGAUUCGGUUGGCUAGACGGGUGUCCUCUUCCUCCCUCACCACUCCAUGUGUGUCCCUCCCAAAGCUGCAUGCUCUGUCGAAGAGGAUGACCUUCCUGAUAAAGGAGAGGACCGUUUUUCGGUCAAGGGUAUACGAGUAGCUGCACUCCCCUUCUAGAACCUCCAAACAAGCUCUCAAGGUCCAAAGGUUGUAGGAGAACAUAGGGUGGUCAAGCUUCCAAGACUCCAGACACAUCCAAAUGAGGCGCUGCAUGUGGCGGUCUGCCUUUCUUA
rnacentral:snRNA from 1 species